rnacentral:rRNA from 1 species
CGGUGUUUAACUGGCGUGAUGUGGGACGUCCUACCGGUGGGCUUAGCCUCGCGAGGGGCGGCCCAACUAAUAUCCCGUCGCGGUGCUCUUUACUGAGUGUCGAGUCGGGCCGGUACGUUUACUUUGAACAAAUUAGAGUGCUUAAAGCAGGCUAUCCUCGCCUGAAUACUGCGUGCAUGGAAUAAUGGAAUAGGACCUCGGUUCUAUUUUGUUGGUUUUCGGAACCCCGAGGUAAUGAUUAAUAGGGACAGAUGGGGGCAUUCGUAUUGCGACGUUAGAGGUGAAAUUCUUGGAUCGUCGCAAGACGGACAGAAGCGAAAGCAUUUGCCAAAAAUGUUUUCAUUAAUCAAGAACGAAAGUUAGAGGUUCGAAGGCGAUCAGAUACCGCCCUAGUUCUAACCAUAAACGAUGCCAGCUAGCGAUCCGCCGAAGUUCCUCCGAUGACUCGGCGGGCAGCUUCCGGGAAACCAAAGCUUUUGGGUUCCGGGGGAAGUAUGGUUGCAAAGCUGAAACUUAAAGAGAAUUGGACGGAAGGGCACCACCAGGAGUGGAGCCUGCGGCUUAAUUUGACUCAACACGGGAAACCUCACCAGGCCCAGACACCGGAAGGAUUGACAGAUUGAUAGAUCUUUUUUGAUUUGGUGGGGGGUGGUGCAUGGCCGUUUUUAGUUGGUGGAGAGAUUUGUGUGGUUAAUUCUGAUAACGAACGAGACUCUAGCCUGCUAAAUAGGCGUACCUUAUGGUAUCGCGAAGGCCCCCGGCUUCGGCCGGUGGGUUUUUACUACCAACGUACAAACAAAUCUUCUAGAGGGACAGGCGG